rnacentral:rRNA from 1 species
CCUACGGGUGGCAGCAGUCGAGAAUCAUUCACAAUGGGGGAAACCCUGAUGGUGCGACGCCGCGUGGGGGAAUGAAGGUCUUCGGAUUGUAAACCCCUGUCAUGUGGGAGCAAAUUAAAAAGAUAGUACCACAUGAGGAAGAGACGGCUAACUCUGUGCCAGCAGCCGCGGUAAUACAGAGGUCUCAAGCGUUGUUCGGAAGCACUGGGCGUAAAGCGUGCGUAGGCUGUUUCGUAAGUCGUGUGUGAAAGGCGCGGGCUCAACCCGCGGACGGCACAUGAUACUGGGAGACUAGAGUAAUGGAGGGGGAACCGGAAUUCUCGGUGUAGCAGUGAAAUGCGUAGAUAUCGAGAGGAACACUCGUGGCGAAGGCGGGUUCCUGGACAGUAACUGACGCUGAGGCACGAAGGCCAGGGGAGCGAAAGGGAUUAGAUACCCUUGUAGUC